rnacentral:rRNA from 1 species
UGGGGAAUCUUGGACAAUGGGCGAAAGCCUGAUCCAGCCAUGCCGCGUGAGUGACGAAGGUCUUCGGAUUGUAAAGCUCUUUUUGGCGGGGACGAUAAUGACGGUACCCGCAGAAUAAGCCCCGGCUAACUUCGUGCCAGCAGCCGCGGUAAUACGAAGGGGGCUAGCGUUGUUCGGAAUUACUGGGCGUAAAGCGCACGUAGGCGGAUUUGUAAGUCAGGGGUGAAAUCCCGGGGCUCAACCUCGGAACUGCCCUUGAUACUGCAAAUCUCGAGUCCGAUAGAGGUGAGUGGAAUUCCUAGUGUAGAGGUGAAAUUCGUAGAUAUUAGGAAGAACACCAGUGGCGAAGGCGGCUCACUGGAUCGGUACUGACGCUGAGGUGCGAAAGCGUGGGGAGCAAACAGGAUUAGAUACCCACGUAGUCCCUGAGCGGGCUGGCAAGGCGCAU